UACGGAGGGAGCUAGCGUUGUUCGGAUAUACUGGGCGUAAAGGGCGCGUAGGCGGUCAGCACAAGUCAGUUGUGAAAUCUCCGGGCUUAACUCGGAAAGGUCAACUGAUACUGUGCGACUAGAGUGCAGAAGGGGCAACUGGAAUUCUCGGUGUAGCGGUGAAAUGCGUAGAUAUCGAGAGGAACACCUGCGGCGAAGGCGGGUUGCUGGGCUGACACUGACGCUGAGGCGCGAAAGCCAGGGGAGCAAACGGGG
rnacentral:rRNA from 1 species